rnacentral:misc_RNA from 1 species
GAUGAAGAACGCAGUGAAAUGCGAUAAGUAAUGCGAAUUGCAGAAUUUCCGUGAGUCAUCGAAUCUUUGAACGCACAUUGCGCCCGCCAGUAUUCUGGCGGGCAUGCCUGUUCGAGCGUCAUUUCAACCCUCAAGCUCAGCUUGGUGUUGGGACUCGCGGUAACCCGCGUUCCCCAAAUCGAUUGGCGGUCACGUCGAGCUUCCAUAGCGUAGUAAUCAUACACCUCGUUACUGGUAAUCGUCGCGGCCACGCCGUAAAACCCCAACUUCUGAAUGUUGACCUCGGAUCAGGUAGGAAUACCCGCUGAACUUAAGCAUAUCAAUAAGCGGAGGA